AGGAGAGGUGUAGGGGAGAGGCCUGGCACGGGUGGGAACUUUUUGGGGGCAGUGUGGCAGAGGACAGUGGUUUUGGGGUAGGCUGGCUGUGGUGAGGACAUGGAGCCAAGUGAGCUGCCUCUCUGGCUAGGAGCAGCUCAUCUACAGGCAGUGACAACCCUAGGAAAUGGUGGGUGACUGCUCUAGUGCAGCUGCCCUCACCAGAUGGGUGUAUUUCAGCCUGCCCUUGGCCAAGCUGUAUAUGGGUUGUGGCCAGAAGAGGGGAAAAAAAAAAAUCUCAUGGGUUGAGCACAUGGCCUCCUAAACUGUACUCUUGGCUCUCAGUGGUGGGUGUUGAACUUGGUAGGUUGUUGAGCCUUUGUGUGCUUUGGUAUCUCCAUCUACGAAGCAGAGAUAACAGUUGGCUUCAUGCAGGGAUUAAUUAUCGCAUCUUGUAGUCACGUAUUUGUUUAUUUGUUUUUACUAUAGAUUACAGCUGGAGGAAUUCUAAACAGUCCACUUCUCCUUGUCAUGGUGUUUGAGCGCAUUGUGCUCCUGUCUGAACAGAGGAAAUCACUGAGGUUUUCCCUCAUAGCUGAGUCAGCAGAAGAGUGUUCUGUGCCUGACCCUGCUGGGUUAGUGCUGGCCACCUCAGCUCAGACCCCAGCCUGACAGUGCUGUGACUGCCCUGGCCUUUGUCCUGGACUGGCUGCUGUGGGGAUGUGUAUUGACACCAGCUGACCGUGCUACAGGGAUGUAGCCUCUGGAAGAGUGUGCUGGAGAGGAUGACUGGAAGUGCUGGACAACAGCUGGGGAACUCUUUGAGCAUCCCUAGAUUCCAUAUUAGUAUGGUGGCUUUUCCAGUGAUCUGCAAUGAACAGCUCUGCUGUUGACCUUAUCUGGAUCUUGAUCUCCUGUUUUAUAGAUUUUAUAGGUAAAACAACAUCUUACAUUGUUGUAAACUUGCUUCCAGGCACUAUUCUUAUAAUCCAUAAAACAGUUGUGAAACUGUGGCCUUGCUCUUCAGCAAUUCUGCAGUCACCUAUCUCUGAGACAUUGUAUUUCACCCUUGAAUAAGAUUCUAGACCAAAAAAAGAGUUAGACUGCAUACAGAUUAACAAAUGUGUUGCUAGUAUCUCUGGCUACUGCAGCAUGACUCACCCAUCAGUGCUUGUCAGAGUCUGGCGUGACCUCAUUGAAAGCUUCAACAUCUCUUAUGUGAAGGCAGGUUGUAAUCCAGUGUGGGAAUCCUAAAUAGGUGGGGAAUGAAGUUCUGAGAUUGUGAUAAUGCAUGCAUCAGAAACAUCUCCCCGGAAAUCAAUUAUGCCCUCACCAGGAAUACUCUUAAGAUUUCUGAGGAUCUCUUGGUGGUAAGCCUGCCUUUCCCUGCUUUUAUUAAAAAAAACACCUGUACUAUUCAACACAGCAACAGAAAUCAAUGCUGGUGGCAAAAUUUAAGAGUGAAUGGGACAUGUCAGGGAGGAGAUGCUCUGUUAUUUGCAAGGACAAGAAAGAGCUGAUGGUCCCUUUUUAUUUAUCACAGCAUCUACAGACUUUUCUUUAUUUUUUUUCCUAUGUCAGUAAGGGGGCUUCUGGUACACAGAUAAUCUGCUGCUACUCAAACCGAAAGUGAAAUCCCUGGCUGUUGGUCUGGUUGCUGUCUUUAGGACACGUGAAUGUCUGCUCCUGUUUUGCUGUAGGUAAUUUCUGUAUGUGGCAAAGUUGUGUGUGCCAGCCUGGAAGCUUUGUCCAUGAGCAGCAACAGUUCCUGUCUCUUGGUUUCUCAAAGCUGCAGCUCCUCACUGGUUCCACAGGCCUGCUUUGUCACAGAGUGUCAGUAACUUUGCAGAAGUCACUGCAUCCUCUGCUGUGCUUGGGAUCAACUCUGGCAUCUGUCUGAAUGGACCAAGGCCUGGAUGAUGUUUGGAGACUAGGCAUACCUUUGCUGGAUGAUCUGAUGGAUGCACACCGUGGUGUACCAGGGCAUAAGAGAUGGAAGCCCCAUAAAAGUGUUGUCCAUGCUGCAUUCAGCUGUGGGAUGUUGGCUUAAAUGAUUGAUCUAGUAUUUGAAGUCCUAUUGCUUCAUUUACAUCUCGAUUUUCAGUAUCUUGGCAGACAUUUCUCUCACACAGUAAGGCAUACCUGGGGUUCUAGUAGAAUUCUGCUCUUAGGUCAAGAUCAAACAUCAUUGCUCCUCCCUGCCUUCAGCUAGAAAUGGACAGACACCAUUUGUGACUGAAUAUCCUGAGUCACCGAUUCCCAGCUGGCAUGUGCACUGCAGUUCCGUCUCUUCCUUUCCGACUGCACUCCCUAGAGGAGAUUGGGAACAACUGCAGUCGUCAGCUCCAGCGUGGUGUGUGCGCUUGCCGGGAUCCACACAAUUGGUGGACAACCCCUGUCUACGUCUAUGGGGUGAGCUGCAUGUGAUUUGUUGCUGUAUGCCUGGUGUUUCCACACCGGAAAAUAGAACAGGUGUAGGAAUAUUUUUCAAAAAAAUCAGUUUCUUCAUAUUUACUAUAAAAAUAUCUGCAUUGUAGAGAUGAUGAUAGGAUAUCUCCAUUAAAUAAUCAGUUGAGACAAGUAAUGAUACCAGUAGUGCUAUCUCACAAUAAGAUUGUGUGAUAAUGGAUGAAAACUAAGAAUCUAGAGAGAUGAUGAAAGGUGAAGUAGUUACUCCCUACAAAUUCUGCUACCAGGAGCAUGAGUCCACCAUGCAGGAGCUGAUAGAUUAUCUGUUGUGUCAGACACUUUUGUGCUGUGUUUGUUAUCCUGCUUGUGCAGUGUCCCAAAGAAAGGCUGCUUAAGCUCAGCAGGGGAAUUAUGCAACAUGUUGCUGUGUUAUUUCAUCUGACCAAAACAUUUUCACUGUGUAAUGCUUGCUGCUAGUCUUGUGCAUAGCUCUGGGGGAAGCUGAAACACAAAACACUUCAUUGAGCUUUUUGAUCCAACAGGUCUUGACAUAUUGCUGCUGGACACAUCUCUGUGUCUGGUGUGAACUGUGACAGUUCCAUUCUGUCCUGCUAAAAUAACAGCAUAUUAAACAAUACUAUUCUGUCCAUGCCAUUUCCACCUAUUGACUAAAAAGUUAAAUUCUUAUUAAGCUAGUUUUAAUUUACAUGUCAUAAGCUAUUAGUUAAUGGUCAGCUGAUUUUCCUGGCAUGAAGAUUGCAAAGUGUAUAACACUGAGUAGUGCUUGUGUGGGACCAAAUGAGUUAAACCAGCUCCUUCUGCUGAAAUACCCAGUGAAAUACAGUGAGGGUCUGCAUAGCAAAUCUGUUUGCAACAGGUCACCAGUGUUUGCCUGGGACAGUUCAUCCUGUUAGCAGGCACUGAUCUGGCUAUGGAGGAGAUAUGUGGCUUGUGCUGACUCAAGAAAUCAGGUGCAAGUUGCAUCAGAGAAGUAAGGAGUGGCUCACCUUAGAGGCAGGAUGUAGGUUUUAGUGUAAGAACUGUUCACAAACCACCUUUAGAAGAAAGUUGGCGGGGAGGAAAUACAGGAGGGCCACUUUGAAAUCUGACUUGAUAAAUUGUUUUUCUUCUUGCUGCAUCAGGGGCUUGUUCCAAAGGGGGAAGGUGUGGAAUUGUUAACACCACUGAGGUGUCUUGGGAAAACAUGCACUGUAGCUGCAGACAGCAGUAGUCCUAAGGCACGUUUUCUGGGGAGGGUUGGAUGACAGCUGUUCAUAAACUUUCAUAUAGUUACUCUCUUGUUCCUUCUUUAUAGAUCUGACUCAUCUCUCCCUGUCCUAAACACAUGAGUUUGUUUGGUUUUUUUUCCCCUCUCCACUCAUUUACCUCAUAUCUCAUAUCCUUCAAGAUUCCUUUUGUAUCUCUGGGCUUAAUUCUAUUAAAUCCAGUUCCUUUGACUUUUACUUUGCCUGUGCUUUGCACUUGCUGCAGAGCCCAACAAACUUGGCAGCCAAUCCUUGGGCACUCCAGAGAAAACAACUGUCUAGACCAGGCACCUCCUGCCCGAUGCCCUGGAUGUACCCCAGAGCUCCCAGGCAUUACUCUGUAUUCAGAACAACAUGUUGCUAUGCAAAUUAUUCCUUUCUGUUCUUCCUCUUACCUACACAGAGUUACAUGCCCCCGACUUCUCAGCAGGCACUAGUCUAAUGUUUAUUGAUCUUUUACAGAGGUCUGAUUCAAAGGAAGAUUGAUAAAAUCUUGUCCGGUGUUUUUGUGAACACAUAAUUGCACCUGCCUCCUCCUAGGGAAUGAGGCAAAUGGGACUGAGGGAGCCCACAGAAUAAAUAGUACCUUCUGCAGAACUGGAGAUAGUGCAAGCUGGAGGCCAUCACUGCAAAGGUCUUGCAGAGCCUGUGGUAUCCAGCAGAAUUCAGGAAGGUGUGUUACCCUUUCUUAAAAGGAAUGGAAGUCAAAUCUUGGUCUAAAGACUCGUAUGGCAUGGGAAGGGCACAGAAGUUUUAAUGCAAAGUUGCAAGCUGUGCCCGUUCCCAGUUAAAGCCCCUGUUGCCCUAGGCAAUCAUUGAGCCUGUCAGCGUCCUGCAGCUUUCAUACAGAGAUGUGACCAAAAUAGCUCCACAACUUUACAAUGUGGCUAAAAAUAGCUUGCAGGUCAGCUUUUUUCUCAAAGGUGGUGGUGACAUCAGGGGGAGAGCACUCUUGCUCCUGUUCAGUGCAGGUAGAACUGGAUAAACAAAGCGGGGACAGCAGCAGUUUGGCUGAAAAGCCUUGAGGAAAGAGAGGUGAUAAGGGAUGGAAAAGGACUGGGAGAGAUGGGCUGAAGUGUCAAAGGCGUGGGUGGACCCACUGCUGCUGGCCAAGUUAGUGUGCUCAUACCCAACUUCUCCCUGGGGUUUUGUUUCCAUGAUGUUUGAGUUAUCAGUCUGUUCCUGUCUCCUUGUGGCCCAUGUCAGGAUGUGUCACUGGAUGGGCUGGCCAGCCAGUGCAGCAUUUCUUGCUCCUCAUUUCCAGACAGUGAACACAGCCCAUGACAUCACCUCUGGCCAGCGGCACAUCAGAGGCUAGGCCAUGGCAAUGUCAAGUGUGUUUUGCUGUGGCCAUUCAACCAGAGAGCUGAUCUUUUACAGUGUAAUUUGCAUGUGGAGAAAUCUGGAUGGCCCUUAGUUCUAGGGGGAUUUCAGUAUUUGUUCUUGGGCCAAAAGUAGGCUGUUUUUAUGGGGUCAAACUGUCUGUUUUUGUAGAGCAUUACGUUUUACCAAAGGAGCAAAGCUGCACACCAUGAUCCUCAGAGUUUUAGUCUCUGUUGUGUAUACUAAGUCUGGCCAUGGAGAUGAUUCUCAGCCAAGUCUGUAAGUGCCUGAUUUGGAACGUUAUGGGAAUCUAAUGUAGGUUAUGUGAGGUUUGCCAUGCCUGCAGCUCCUGUGCUGCUGAGGUAAGUGUACUGCAGCAGGCUGUGCUAGUGAGAAUUUCCUUUGUGCUGCAGGUUUCAUGCCUGGUGCUUUCAUAGUGCUGAAAGAGGGGAAGGAGACAACAAAAAUGUGAAAAAUCGAGGGCAGGUCAUUACUGUCAGAUGAGGACAGAGUCCUGUAGCCAGUCAGAUGUGACAGAAUGCACUUGCUGAUGCUGCUACCAGGAAGCUUGAGAAAUGUGACUGAGUGACAGCAGUGCGCAUGUGCCUUUGGAGGAAGGAGGCUAUGUGUGUGCUCUUGCAAUGCUUUUCUCUGCCCAGCAACAUCAUUGCUGCUUUUCCUGGUGUUCUGCUUAAGCAGCUGUUCUGCAUUUAUGAUCCAAUCUAUUCUUCAUACAGGGCCAUCUUCACACUGAGCCACCUUCACUGCCACUAUCAGAAGGACUGAUAAUACCUCAGGUUUGCUUUGAGUAAGCACUAUAAAUAGGGCAAAAGCACUAUAGUUACCGUUCUCUUAAACUUAUAGGACUGGCCUCUGUCCCCACCUAUUUAAAAUGGCUCCUGUUGCCUCACAAGAGGGAGUCUUCAGCCAAAUACAUCUCUAUAUUGACAAGUAUAGAGAGAAUUUUGCGCAUGAUCAGCUUGCAAGAAUUUCAUUUGAUGUGCAGCUGGAAGUCAGCUGCCAAUAGAAAAGGGAGCUCUGCAUCCCUACUUGUGUGCUUCUAGUGCAUUUAGAUGCUACAGGCCACAUUAAUUGCAGACUGCAGUUAGACCAGGUUAUAGGUAAAAUCAACUCAAUACCAUCAUGAUGACCAGCUAGUACAGUCAUUUCUGAGCACUGCAAUUUCUCACCACAGCCUGCUCCUUCCCUUCAGUGAGAGCUAUUCCUUGGUCUGCCCUGCCCAGCUUGUAAAUGUAUCUCAUCAGUCUCUGCUUCUUUGCAAAUGAGCUGUGUAGGUAAUGGGAGGAGGAGGAGGCAGCAGCACUGCAACCUGCCCAUCUCCAGCUGGUCAUAAAGGCUCCGUGCUCCUUUGGCUUUCUGAAGUUAUUUUCCCCAUGAACCGUGUGGGUAUGAAACUUUGUUGUUUCCUUAAAUGCCCUGCCUUUUGCAACAGGUCAUUUCCCAGGGGGGAAAACAGGCUGUUGAUGUGGUAGGCACUCAGCUUGUCCUUUGGAUAAGAUCCAGAGGCGAUUAGUUUGGGCGCAGCAGUGUGCUAACACAGGCAGAAUGCACCCAGACUGGCUCCUGCCGAGAUAGCCCCAAUCUCUCCGCUGUCCCCACCUCUGUCCACGGCCCCUGGCUCAGUGUGAGCACCGGUCCCUGUCCCUCUCCCUGCCUGUGCUGGCACGCCCACAAGGAAGCAGAAUUUGCACCCCAUGCUGCUUGCCCGUGUCCUGAUCGGUACCAGCCCUCCCAAAGCAAACAGUGAUUUGCCUGUCUGCUCUGACUCAGCUGUGCUGAAGGCAGGAAU